AGGUAAGUCGCGAGGACAUGGACCUGCGAGUCGAUAAGCACCUCCCCAACACGGCUCAACAACUCCCUCUCC
rnacentral:misc_RNA from 1 species